UUCGGCCAUAGUGGCGCACGGGUGAGUAACGCGUGGGAACCUACCCUGAAGUGGGGGAUAACCUCGGGAAACUGAGGCUAAUACCGCAUAUGCCCCGAGGGGCAAAGGCUUCGGUCGCUUUAGGACGGGCCCGCGCCCGAUUAGGUAGUUGGUGGGGUAAAGGCUUACCAAGCCGACGAUCGGCAGCUGGUCUGAGAGGAUGAUCAGCCACACUGGGACUGAGACACGGCCCAGACUCCUACGGGAGGCAGCAGUGGGGAAUAUUGGACAAUGGGCGCAAGCCUGAUCCAGCCAUGCCGCGUGAGUGAAGAAGGCCUUCGGGUUGUAAAGCUCUUUCAGCGGGGACGAUGAUGACGGUACCCGCAGAAGAAGCCCCGGCUAACUUCGUGCCAGCAGCCGCGGUAAUACGAAGGGGGCUAGCGUUGUUCGGAAUUACUGGGCGUAAAGAGUACGUAGGCGGUCCGUUAAG
rnacentral:rRNA from 1 species